GAUGAACGCUAGCGGGAGGCCUAACACAUGCAAGCCGAGCGGUAUUGUUUCUUCGGAAAUGAGAGAGCGGCGUACGGGUGCGGAACACGUGUGCAACCUGCCUUUAUCUGGGGGAUAGUCUUUCGAAAGGAAGAUUAAUACUCCAUAAUAUAUUGAACGGCAUCGUUUAAAAUUGAAAGCUCCGGCGGAUAGAGAUGGGCACGCGCAAGAUUAGCUAGUUGGUGAGGUAACGGCUCACCAAGGCGAUGAUCUUUAGGGGGCCUGAGAGGGUGAUCCCCCACACUGGUACUGAGACACGGACCAGACUCCUACGGGAGGCAGCAGUGAGGAAUAUUGGUCAAUGGGUGCAAGCCUGAACCAGCCAUCCCGCGUGAAGGACGACUGCCCUAUGGGUUGUAAACUUCUUUUGUAUAGGGAUAAACCUACCCUCGUGAGGGUAGCUGAAGGUACUAUACGAAUAAGCACCGGCUAACUCCGUGCCAGCAGCCGCGGUAAUAC
rnacentral:rRNA from 1 species